rnacentral:rRNA from 1 species
CCUAACACAUGCAAGUCGAGCGGUAGAGAGAAGCUUGCUUCUCUUGAGAGCGGCGGACGGGUGAGUAAUGCCUAGGAAUCUGCCUGGUAGUGGGGGAUAACGUUCGGAAACGGACGCUAAUACCGCAUACGUCCUACGGGAGAAAGCAGGGGACCUUCGGGCCUUGCGCUAUCAGAUGAGCCUAGGUCGGAUUAGCUAGUUGGUGAGGUAAUGGCUCACCAAGGCGACGAUCCGUAACUGGUCUGAGAGGAUGAUCAGUCACACUGGAACUGAGACACGGUCCAGACUCCUACGGGAGGCAGCAGUGGGGAAUAUUGGACAAUGGGCGAAAGCCUGAUCCAGCCAUGCCGCGUGUGUGAAGAAGGUCUUCGGAUUGUAAAGCACUUUAAGUUGGGAGGAAGGGCAGUUACCUAAUACGUGAUUGUUUUGACGUUACCGACAGAAUAAGCACCGGCUAACUCUGUGCCAGCAGCCGCGGUAAUACAGAGGGUGCAAGCGUUAAUCGGAAUUACUGGGCGUAAAGCGCGCGUAGGUGGUUUGUUAAGUUGGAUGUGAAAUCCCCGGGCUCAACCUGGGAACUGCAUUCAAAACUGACUGACUAGAGUAUGGUAGAGGGUGGUGGAAUUUCCUGUGUAGCGGUGAAAUGCGUAGAUAUAGGAAGGAACACCAGUGGCGAAGGCGACCACCUGGACUGAUACUCGCGCUGAGGUGCGAAAGCGUGGGGAGCAAAC